CUCAUCUCCAGCCGCCUCACCGUCACCCCCAUCUGCAACAGUGUGUGUCCCUUCAGACAUUUUGGAAACAGUGGUACACAACAUUUGGGCUGGGAAAAAGCCGGAGGUGUUGUGGAGCAAAGCAGGCCCUUACAAACUGUUUACACGGAACCUCCAGGAACACCUUCGUCCAGAUGCACUUGUGCAAAGUGAAAUCAUCAAUGCAUACCUAACGAUUGCGCUGAGUAAUUUCUCAGAGGCAGGCAGAGGCAGGGG